rnacentral:rRNA from 1 species
CUCAAGAUUAAGCCAUGCAUGUCUAAGUAUAAGCAAUUAUACCGUGAAACUGCGAAUGGCUCAUUAAAUCAGUUAUCGUUUAUUUGAUAAUACCUUACUACUUGGAUAACCGUGGUAAUUCUAGAGCUAAUACAUGCUGAAAAUCCCGACUUCGGAAGGGAUGUGUUUAUUAGAUAAAAAACCAAUGCCCUUCGGGGCUUUUUGGUGAUUCAUGAUAACUUUACGGAUCGCAUAGCCUUGCGCUGGCGACGGUUCAUUCAAAUUUCUGCCCUAUCAACUUUCGAUGGUAAGGUAUUGGCUUACCAUGGUUUCAACGGGUAACGGGGAAUUAGGGUUCGAUUCCGGAGAGGGAGCCUGAGAAACGGCUACCACAUCCAAGGAAGGCAGCAGGCGCGCAAAUUACCCAAUCCCGACACGGGGAGGUAGUGACAAUAAAUACUGAUACAGGGCUCUUUUGGGUCUUGUAAUUGGAAUGAGUACAAUUUAAACCUCUUAACGAGGAACAAUUGGAGGGCAAGUCUGGUGCCAGCAGCCGCGGUAAUUCCAGCUCCAAUAGCGUAUAUUAAAGUUGUUGCAGUUAAAAAGCUCGUAGUUGAAACUUGGGCCUGGCUGGCGGGUCCGCCUCACCGCGUGCACUCGUCCGGCCGGGCCUUCCUUCUGAAGAACCUCAUGCCCUUCACUGGGCGUGCUGGGGAAUCAGGACUUUUACUUUGAAAAAAUUAGAGUGUUCAAAGCAGGCCUUUGCUCGAAUACGUUAGCAUGGAAUAAUAAAAUAGGGCGUGCGUUUCUAUUUUGUUGGGUUCUAGAGACGCCGCAAUGAUUAACAGGAACAGUCGGGGGCAUCAGUAUUCAGUUGUC